AGCGAACGUUUGCGGCGGGCCUAACACAUGCAAGUCGAACGCACUAGCAAUAGUGAGUGGCGCACGGGUGCGUAACACGUGGGUAAUCAACCCUUCAGCUUGGGAUAACGACUUGAAAGGGUCGCUAAUACCGGAUACGGCGCGGGAGGCUUCGGCUUCUCACGAGAAAGCCUCGCAAGGGGCACUGAAGGACGAGCCUGCGGCCCAUCAGCUAGUUGGUGAGGUAAGAGCUCACCAAGGCGAAGACGGGUAGCUGGUCUGAGAGGAUGAUCAGCCACACUGGAACUGAGACACGGUCCAGACUCCUACGGGAGGCAGCAGUGGGGAAUAUUGCGCAAUGGGCGAAAGCCUGACGCAGCCACGCCGCGUGAGCGAUGAAGGCCUCGGUCGUAAGACUCUGUGGGAGAGACGAAGAAAGACCGU
rnacentral:rRNA from 1 species